rnacentral:rRNA from 1 species
GCGGCCUAUCAGCUUGUUGGUGAGGUAAUGGCUCACCAAGGCGACGACGGGUAGCCGGCCUGAGAGGGUGACCGGCCACACUGGGACUGAGACACGGCCCAGACUCCUACGGGAGGCAGCAGUGGGGAAUAUUGCACAAUGGGCGCAAGCCUGAUGCAGCGACGCCGCGUGAGGGAUGACGGCCUUCGGGUUGUAAACCUCUUUCAGUAGGGAAGAAGCGAAAGUGACGGUACCUGCAGAAGAAGCACCGGCUAACUACGUGCCAGCAGCCGCGGUAAUACGUAGGGUGCGAGCGUUAUCCGGAAUUAUUGGGCGUAAAGAGCUCGUAGGCGGUUUGUCACGUCUGUCGUGAAAGUCCGGGGCUUAACCCCGGAUCUGCGGUGGGUACGGGCAGACUAGAGUGCAGUAGGGGAGACUGGAAUUCCU